rnacentral:tRNA from 1 species
GCGGUCGUGGCGGAAUUGGCAGACGCGCAAGAUUCAGGUUCUUGUGUCCAAUAGGACGUGGAGGUUCGACUCCUCUCGACCGCA